GAUGAACGCUGGCGGCGUGCUUAACACAUGCAAGUCGAACGGAAAGGCCCAAGCUUGCUUGGGUACUCGAGUGGCGAACGGGUGAGUAACACGUGGGUGAUCUGCCCUGCACUUCGGGAUAAGCCUGGGAAACUGGGUCUAAUACCGGAUAGGACCACUUCUUGGAUGUUGUGGUGGAAAGUUUUUUCGGCGUGGGAUGAGCUCGCGGCCUAUCAGCUUGUUGGUGGGGUAAUGGCCUACCAAGGCGUCGACGGGUAGCCGGCCUGAGAGGGUGUACGGCCACAUUGGGACUGAGAUACGGCCCAGACUCCUACGGGAGGCAGCAGUGGGGAAUAUUGCACAAUGGGCGCAAGCCUGAUGCAGCGACGCCGCGUGGGGGAUGACGGCCUUCGGGUUGUAAACUCCUUUCGCUGGGGACGAAGCGUUUUGUGACGGUACCUGGAGAAGAAGCACCGGCUAACUACGUG
rnacentral:rRNA from 1 species